UACGUAGGGGGCUAGCGUUGCCCGGAAUCAUUGGGCGUAAAGAGCGUGUAGGCGGCCCGGUAAGUCCGCUGUGAAAGUCGGGGGCUCAACCCUCGGAUGCCGGUGGAUACUGUCGGGCUCGAGUACGGAAGAGGCGAGUGGAAUUCCUGGUGUAGCGGUGAAAUGCGCAGAUAUCAGGAGGAACACCUAUUGCGAAGGCAGCUCGCUGGGACGUUACUGACGCUGAGACGCGAAAGCGUGGGGAGCAAACAGG
rnacentral:rRNA from 1 species